UGGUUCUGGCAUCGAUGAAGAACGCAGCGAAAUGCGAUAAGUAAUGUGAAUUGCAGAAUUCAGUGAAUCAUCGAAUCUUUGAACGCACAUUGCGCCCGCUAGUAUUCUGGCGGGCAUGCCUGUUCGAGCGUCAUUUCAACCCUCAAGCACUGCUUGGUGUUGGGGCGCUGCGGUUCACCCCGCAGGCCCUGAAAUUUAGUGGCGGGUCUGCUGUAAUCCCGAGCGUAGUAAUACAUCUCGCUUAGGGUGUUACGGUGGACACUUGCCGUUAAACCCUCUUUAUCUCUUAAAGUUGACCUCGGAUCAGGUAGGAAUACCCGCUGA
rnacentral:misc_RNA from 1 species